UACGUAGGUGGCAAGCGUUGUCCGGAAUUAUUGGGCGUAAAGCGCGCGCAGGCGGUCCUUUAAGUCUGAUGUGAAAGCCCACGGCUCAACCGUGGAACGGCUGGGUAGACUGGCGGUCUUGAGCGGCCUAGGGGCAGAUGGAACAGACGGUGGAGCGGUGAAAUGCGUAGAUAUCGUCUGGAACGCCAAAGGUGAAAACAGGUCGCUGGGGAUGAGCUGACGCUGAGACACGAAAGCCAGGGGAGCAAACGGG
rnacentral:rRNA from 1 species